GUUGGGGGAGCAGGGAGGGGGAGCCCGUAGAGGCAGAUGUGGGUGUCGAGAGACCCAGAGAAGGAGAGACUGGAAAGAGGCAGGGGAAGUGUGCCUAGGGGGGGUUCCGAUGGGGGGACGGCGGGGACAGAAGGGGCCGAUGUUACUGCCGUAGCGCCCGCGAGCGCGUGGAUUGCAUCUCUUCCCUCGCUGCUUCCCCCACACACAGCUUUUCAGCCCUCCCUUUUUCCUUCCCCGCUUGCGACUAGAACGCACCCGCAGGCGGAAGUGCAGGUGACGCCAUCAGCCGUCGCCUGAGUGGUGGCGCGCGGUGGCCGAAAGGCGAAAGUGAGAUUUCGAGGGCCUCCGUGGGAGGGUAGUGCUGUCGUGAGUAGGGCGGGCGGGGAAGUUGGAGAGGAGCGGGCCCCGGGCUGUGUGGGAAGCCGGCGCUGCAGCGCAGUCCGAGCGCUUUGUUAACUGGAGGCGGGAUCGGCCGGAUCCGGGAGGCGGAGCCUCGUUCUGAGCUGCUGUACAUACUUUUCAUUUAAUUCUUGGCAGUUUGUUUCGGCCUCCAAAUCACGAAUUAGGAUUUUGGAUUUUGAGAGAUAGCGUGUUGUAAAGGAAAGAGGCUUCUUUGCUUAACGUUUAAGUCUUUGGAUGUUGGACUUCCUGAACCUGAGUUUCCUCUUGUGUAAUAUGAAGGAGGUGGAUGAGAUGUCCAAGAUCACUACAGAUCCUCGUGAUCUUCCUCUUCUUUCUUGCUGCUGUUGCUGCUUGUGUUGCCGCUGCCACCUCCUCCUCCACCACCACCGCUGUUACCGCUGCUGCGGGGGGGUGGGGGGGUGGGGGAAGGUGGUCUCAGAGGAAAAGAGGGAUGUGUGCCACACUUUGGAUACGAUUUACUGCAUGACCCUGAUUUAGCUCUUGCCGUUCAACAUUUAUCUGUGAAGUCGUCGUCUUAAAUAAUCAUCCUUGCCUCUGUACAUCUCUUGGAAGAAGUAUUGAGAUGGGGUUUGUGAGUUCAUUUUUAGGUGUCCGAAGGACUUCUAGGAUUUUUGAAAUGAUAGUGUAUUGAACUCAGUUACUCCUUUCUGGUCUAGAAUGAGCACAGUGGCAUAAGGAAAAAGAAGCAAACAUCAAAAGCAGAUGUACUGGCUAAGAAACAAAGAUAAAGUAUGUCUCAGUUGACAUAGUUGCCAUUUUAAGAAUGCUAAGUUUAGCUGAGUGUGCCUGAAAUUUUUAGCAUUUUUUUUUCUUCUAGCAUUGGCAUACCACAUGAAAUGUGGGUAGCUGCCAGUACUCUACAGAGUACCAUGGCAGAAUUGGCAAUGAUUGAAUCAAUUCAUUCAAGCAAAAAUUGAUCAUGUGCCUACUGUGUGUCAAGUACUUAGGAAAUCAAAGUCUCUGCAUUCAGAGACUUUAUAGUGUAAUAAGCGCUAUCGUAAAUAAGCAUACGAAGUGCUAGCCAUCUGCCUGUUCCUCUCCUUCAGUACUUGCUGAGUUCCAGUGUAUAACAGUACACCACUUUGUGUAUCUUACCAUUACAGAUUUAUAUCUUCUAUAACCUCAGCUUGAUCCCUCUCUCCUACUUUGUAUAUCCUUAAGCACCCUUUUCUCCUGUUCUACCAGAAUACUUUUUACAGUCUUUAAAUCUCAGCCUCAUUUUAUUAUAUAUCACUUUACUUCCAACUUCAGAGAAGAUUGAAACUGUUCGGCACAAAACUUCAAUUUUCCAAAUGUUAGAAACGAAAUGCUUCCAGAUCUUUCUUUUCUGCAGUAUCAGAAGAAUGAGAAAUUCCCUCCUCUUAACCAAGAUUAACUCUACAUCCAUACUCUAGUUCUAAUCUCUUUCUCCUCCGUUAAUUAUCUUUUCCUUUCUACAGUUCUCCACAUUUCUGGUUCGUUAUCUCUCUGUAACAUUCACUCUAUGUCCUUUCCUUCACGAUCAAACAUCUUUAGAGAGUAUACUACAGUUUAUGUUUCUAACUUAUUAUCUGAAAUUCACCCACCAACCCUCUGCAGUCUAACUUUUGUAGCUAUUACUCUAUCAGAAAGGCUCUAUUUCAAGUAACCGCAUUACUCAGAAGAAAAUAAGUUCUGAUUCUUAUGCAUAUACCAAACCCAUUGCCAUGAAGUCAUUUCUGAUUCAUUAAUGGACGCUUUUACACAUAUAGUUAGACUAAAUUCCCCAGCUUUCCUUACAAUUAGGUAUGGCCACAUGAUUGAGUUCUACCCAAUGGAAUGUAAACAAAAGUGAUAUGCUCUCAUUUUCAGACUUCAUAAACUCCUCCCAUACAGGAUUUUCCUUACUCUUUCCCCAUCAGCUUGAUACCAUUGAGCAUGUUGUUGUUGUUAGGUGCCCUCGAGUCACUUCCAACUCAUGGUGACCCCAUGCACAACAGAACGAAACACUGCCCUGUCCUGUGCCAUCCUCACAAUCGUCGUUAUGCUUGAGCUCGUUGUUGCAGCCACCAUGUCAGUCUACCACGUUGAAGGUCUUCCUCUUUUCCACUGAUCUGUACUUUGCCAAGCACAAUGUCUUUCUCCAGGGACUGAUCCCUCCUGACAACAUGUCCAAAGUAUGUAAGAUGCAGUCUCGACAUCCUUGUAUCUAAGGAGAAUUCUGGUUGUACUUCUUCCAAGACAGAUUUGUUCCUUCUUCUGGCAAUCCAUGGUAUAAUUCAAUAUUCUUCGCCAACACAGCAAUUCAAAGGCAUCAGUUCUUCUUCCGUCUUCCUUAUUCAGUGUCCAGCUUUCACAUACCUAUGGUGUGAUUGAAAAUACCAUGGCUUGGGUCAGGCACACCUUAGUCUUCAAAGUGACGUCUUUGCUCUUCAACACUUUAAAGAGGUCCUUUGCUGCAGAUUUACCCAGUGCAAUGCGUUGUUUGAUUUCUUGACUGCUGCUUCCAUGGCUGCUGAUUGUAGAUCCAAGUAAAACGAAAUCCUUGACCAUUUCAGUCUUUUCUCCGUUUAUCAUGAUAUUUCUCAUUGGUCCAGUUGUGAGGAUUUUUGUUUUCUUUAUGUUGAAGUGCAAUCCAUACUGAAUGCUGUGGUCUUUGAUCUGCAUUAGUAAGUGCUUCAAGUCCUUUUCACUUUCAGCAAGCAAGGUUGUGUCCCUGCAUAACACCAGUUGUUAAUGAGUCUUCCUCCAGUCCUGAUGCCCUGUUCUUCAUAUAGUCCAGCUUCUCGGAUGAUUUGUUCAGCAUACAGAUUGAAUAGGUAUGGUGAAACGAUACAACCCUGACACGCACCUUUCCUAACUUUAAACCAAUCAGUAUACCCUUGUUCCAUUCGAACAACUGCCUCUUGAUCUAUGUAAAGGUUCCUCAUGAGCACAAUUAAGUGUUCUGGAAUUCACAUUCUUCGAAAUCUUAUCCAUAAAUUGCUGUGAUCCACAGAGUCGAAUGCCUUUGCAUAGUCAAUAAAACACAGGUAAACAUCCUUCUGGUAUUCUCUCCUUUCAGCCAGGAUCCAUCUGACAUCACCAAUGAUAUCCCUGGUUCCAUGUCCUCUUCUGAAACCAGCCUGAAUUUCUGGCAGUUCCCUGUCAAUAUACUGCUGCAGCCGUUUUUGAAUGAUCUUCAGCAAAAUUUUGCUUGUGUGUGAUAUUAAUGAUAUUGUUCUAUAAUUUCCACAUUCAGUUGGAUCACCUUUCUUGGGAAUAUGCAUAAAUAUGGAUCUUUUCCAGUCAGUUGGCCAGGAAGCUGUCUUCCAUAUUUCUUGGCAUAGACGAGUGAGCACCUCCAGUGCUACAUCUGUUUGUUGGAACAUCUCAAAUGAUAUUCCGUCAAUUCCUGGAGCCUUGUUUUUCAUCAAUGCCUUCAAUGCAGCUUGGACUUCUUCCUUUGAUACCAUCAUAUGCUACCUUUUGAAAUGGUUGAAGGUUGACUAUUUCUUUUUGGUAUAAUGACUGUGUAUUCCUUCCAUCUUCUUUUGAUGCUUCCUGCGUCAUUUAAUAUUUUCCCCAUAGAAUCCUUCACUAUUGGAACUCAAGGCUUGAAUUUUUUCUUCAGUUCUUUCAGCUUGAGAAAGGCCAAGUGUGUUCUUCCCUUUUGGUUUUCUAUCUCCAGCUCUUUGCACACCAGUGAGCACAGUGACCUUGUAAAGUAUAUGUUGACGAUGCUAGAGUUGGAUGAGAGAAUGAGCAUGGUGGCUGAAUCACUACUUGGAAGAGAGCUACCCACCAAUUAGAAGCACCCUUUUUUGGACUCCUCGUGAAAGAGAAAAAUUGAAAUUUGAGAACUUUAUCUGUUACAGGAGCUAGAAUGACCACGACUAAUCCAGAAGUUGGUACAGGAAGUUGGGUACUGCUAAGAAAAUAAGCUAAAAUAUUUGGCAUUGGCUUGAUAAUGAUUCAACAGGUGAUGGGGAAACUUAGAUUGAGGGUGGAGGAAAGAAGCCCAUGUAUUGUAGGGGCAAAGUAAUUGUAAAACUAUCACCCGUGAUUAUUGAAAAGCAGACCACAUAUCUGCUGACACUGUAGCUUUAGAGGAAAUGGUCGAAAAAUAGUCAAAGUAAUGGUGUGUGUUGCUUUUUACAUUUUACUUUUAACCAAGUUUUACAAGUAAGAGCUAAGCUCAGGAAAUAAUUGGCAGAAAUGAAAGGGAAUAGAAAGUGUGCAGGGAUAUGUGCAACUGGAAGAGUUGGAAAAGCUGACUUUCUAGACCUCAGACAGUAAAAAUGGAACUGGAAGAGACCUUGAGUACAGUUUCCUUAUGAUUUAGUCCUGCAACAAAGAUCAGAUCAAGGGUUUGGUCUUCCUAACCAAGUCCAUUGUUUCAGAUGGCUUCAAGAUGGCUGUAAUAAAGUUUAGAGAGAAACUAGCAUGAGGCAAAGAACUAAAUCAGGCUUGAGAAUUAUGUAAGAAAGAGCUUUGGGUGUAAUUACUGGAAGUAAAUAAGAAAUCUAAGUUUUUAAAGGAAUUUAGCCAGAUGUGAAAAUAUCUUUGUUAAAGUGUUGAAACAACUCUUAGGCCCCCAAACUUGAAUAAGUAGGAAAUAGAGUAUAAAAGCUUUACAUCUCACCAAUACUCACAUGUUAUGUGGUCAUGGAGAAAAAUGAACAAAUAAGAACGUUUCAGAGGCUGGCAUCAGGGGCCAUGUAGAACAAUGGAGAAGGGUUCCUUCCAAAGAGUAGAACUGGGAUCCCAUCAAAACUUCUCCAGUCUCAGGAGAUGGAUCACAAAAUGCCUGCCAGUAUUUUGUCAUUGUCAUGCUUCAGUAUUACUGAGUGUCUCACAUUUUUCUCCCUCCCUAUGAAAGUGUAUAUUAUACUUAUCUCAUCCUUGAUCUACCACUGUAUAUUGGGUUUGAAGGGACAGGGGGUAGUAAUUAAGAUAACUUACCUUUUUAGUUCAUAGGUUGCAUCUGGACCUAAUGAAGAGAGCUGCACAUUACUUGCAAAUCCUAGACUUUCUGCCUGAUCCAGUGACUGGAUGGAACUUCAGGUUGUCUCCCUUGGUGUAGGAUUGUUCCAUGUAUGGGAAGAGAGGUACACAUUUAAUGGUCAGGAUAGUGUAGUCUUGCAGACACUAGAUUCUUCUUACUGGGAAUACAGUUAGACUCUAUUCCCCAGCCUCCUUUGCAAUUAGGUAUACCAUUAGAUGUCCCCAUGAGGUCCUAACCAGUGGAAUGUGAGAAGUGAUGUGCUCCUGUUUCAGAUCCGGCCUAUAAAAACUUCACAUGAGCAAUCCUCUUAAGACAUCCCCACUCCCCACCAACUUGAGGCAGAUGAAUGCAUGUGCUUUGGAAACCACGUCUGAAUGAUGGCGAAGCCAUAAAAUGGAAGGUCUCUGAUUUCCUUGGAGGAUACCCAGUAAAAAUCUAGUGCUGUCGAGUCGAUUCCGACUCACAGUGACCCUAUAGGACAGAGUAGAACUGCCCCAUACAGUUUCCAAGGAGCGUCUGGUGGAUUCAAACUGCCAACCCUUUGGUUAGCAACUGUAGCACUUAACCACUACACCACCAGGGUUUCCUCCUUGGAGUUCACAUGCAUUCUUUUGUGUUAAGGCACUGAGAUUUGAGGGCUUAUCCUAAUAUAGCCCUGCCCCUCUUCCUCCAGAUACAACCAUUCCUUACCUAGUCCUAAUUCCCAUAGCAAAGGAUGAGCCCAUGAAUCAGGUGGACCAAAGUACUCUCAUCCCCCAACCAUAGUGAUUGGUUCAGGAAUGGACAGGUUAACAAAACCAAGCUCAUCAGAGACAUUCUCCCCAUUUUGGCUUGCACUAUUGAGAAAGAGGCACUGAACUCUGAAAUUACAAGCAAAGAUUGCCUCUGGCCUUUGGUCACCAUGCAGAGAAAACUUGCCUGAAAAUGAAAUUAUUACAGGAAAACAGAGGCAGUCUCAAUGGUAUUGAAAGAGGGCAAAGAGCUCUUGAACUGUUUCAAAUUUCCUUGCUCUCUUCUCAGCACUGAAUCCCCAAGGGGUAAGGGGUAAGGGGUAGAUACUGCCAGGAAGAUUUGGGAAUUCAAAAACAGAAGGAGCUUGUGGCUUGUACCCUGUUACUCACUUGGAAGUCUGCCCAACAUGGCAGCUACAACCAAGUAGAAAUGGCAGCAGAUUAUGUUUAAGCAGAGAGGAUCAGGCUGCAUCUCCACUGACUACAGUAGAGUGGAAAAAAAGAGUUGCAGAAAUAUUCCUUUAAGAGGGACAUAAAUAUGGUUCACAGUAAAAGCCCAGUUGCUUGCUAGGGACUUGCUGCAGUACAGAAUGAGAGAGCCCCAUGGCAGAGGCUUUGGUGUGAAUCCAUGGAUUGGAUGGAGAAGGCUAUUGAGAAGACAAAAGCGUCCACAAGUUCCGAGAGUGGAACUGCUUCGUACGAUGUUCUUGGCUAUAAUCUUUAUGGAAGCAGAUUGCCAGGCCUUUGUUCCACAGCAGUGCUGGGUGAGUUUGAACUACCAAUCUUCAGGUUAGUAGUCAAGUGCAAACCAUUUGUGCCAGCAGGAACCUUAUAGUAAGAACUACUUAGGCAAAAAAGUAGAGAUAAAUAUCCCUGGCUGAAGGAGUAUAUGUAUGAAACCCCUGAAAAAAAGAGGUAUCAAACUGGGUCAAAAAAACUGUAACACAGAAAGUGAAUGGAAGAAUGUUGCAAGAUAAGGCUGGGGAAGAAAACAGGAGCCAGAUCAUCCAGGGCCUUGUGGACCAUGCUAAGGAUUUUGAGAUGUAUAUUGAGAUAAAAUUUCCCUUCCUCCAAUUUCUCUCCAUCCAAUGAUCCUAGUCUUCUUUUCUUUAGAUAAAUAUCCUUCUCUUUUCAGUCAUUCCUCAUAUGAGAUGGUUUUGAGAUCCCUCUAACCUACUGAUGACACUUUUCUGGAAUUAAUAUAGUGUUAAAGUGUUAAAAAUAUCACAGUUAAGUAAUAACAGGUAGCAUCAAGGACAAAUUAGCCCUGCUCUGUUAUUUAUUUUUUAGUCCAUUGUUCUGGAAGCAGAGCCAAGAAGUAGAUAAGCUGAGAGCUAAGGGGAUGACAACCUAGCAUAAAAAGUAAUUAACUAUUGGCCAUGUUAGUAGAACAGAGUUGGCUGCAUAAAUAAUUCAAAAUCAAUUAAAAUGUCAUAUGGAUAAUAAAUAUAUCUUUACUGUUAUAUUUUAUUUUGCUCAAAAAGUAUCUCUCCUCUUAAAGUUUAUGUUAAAAUUAAAAUUGGUAUUAUUUUUCUGAGUGUGCUUCUAGGUGCAUAAAGAAGGAAAUAAAAAAAGAAAAAACAGAAAAAUGUAGAGAUUCCUGGAUAGCAAUAGAAAGCCACUAUGAAGUUAAAAAUAUGCCAAGCAUAGUCUACAACUAACUGAUGUGCAUAUAUUCUUGGUUACUACACAAGUAAGCUGUCCACAGUUAAAUUUAGUGUUCCAUUUUAUGUUUGUUAGUCUGGCAAUUUGUCCUUGUUUGUGUGGGAAACUGAAAGUGAUUAUGGCAUAGAAAAAUUCCUACACAGAGAUCUGUGAGUUUCUGAUAUUUUUUACUUUUAAGAUGAGCAUCAAGAACAUUUCAUGGCUCAGCAGAAUCCAUUCAGCAUAUUAAAAGAGUCAUAUACCAUGACCACGUGGAACUUAUUCCAGGAAUGCAAGGAUGGUUCAACAUUGGAAACUCAAUCAAUGUAAUACACCACAUUAAUAGAACAAAGGAAAAGAACCACAUGAUCAUCUCUAUGGAUGCAGAAAGAGCAUUUGAUAAAACCCAACACUGUUUCUUGAUGAAAACCCUCAACAAGACUGGAAUAGAAGGGAAGUUCCUCAAUACGAUUAAGGGCAUAUAUGAAAAACCGGCAGCCAACAUUAUUACUUAAUGGAAAAAAGUUGAGUGUUUCCCCCUUGGAAUCGAGCUAAAGACAAAGGUGUCUGCUUGUAUUAGAAAUCCUAGCAAGAGCAAUAAAAUAAGAAAAAGAAAUAAAAGAUAUUCAAAUUGGAAAAGAAGAAAUAAAAUAAAUCUCUACUCACGGGUGACACGAUCCUAUAUAGAGAAAACUCCAAAUAAUCCACAAAAAAGCUUCCAGAGCUAAUAGAGGAAUUUAGCAAGGUCAACAACAACAAAAAAAAUCAGUUGGAUUUCUAUACACCAGCAAUGAGAAAUCUGAAAGGGAAAUUAGGGAAACAAUCGCAUUUACAAUAGCAUCUGAGAGAAUAAAACACCUAGGAAUAAAUUUAACCAGGGAUAGGACAGACUUAUACAAUUAAAGUUAUAAAAUACUACUGACUCUAAGAUGUUCCAUGUUCAUGGACUGGAAGACUUAAUAUUGUUAAGAUGUCAGCGCAACCUAAAGAUCUGCAGAUUCAGUGCAAUCCUCAUCAAAAUUCCAACAGAAAUGGAAAAACCAAUCCUCGACUUUAUAUGGAAUGGCAAGAAGCCCUGAAUAGCUAAAGCAAUAUUGAAAGAGAACGAAGUAGGACUUCACACUUCCUGAUUUCAAAACAUAUUAUACAGUAAUCAAAACAGCCUAGUACUGGUAUGAUAAUAGACACGUAGACCAAUGGAAUAGAAUUGAAAGCCCAGAAAUAAGCCCACACAUCUAUGACUUUUUACAAGGAUGCUAAUUAAGUCCAUUCAAUGGAGGAAAGAAGAGUCUCUUCAACAAAUGGUGUUGGGAAAAUUGGGUCUACAUAUGCAGAAAAAUGAAACAGGAUCCACUGCUUCACACCAUACACAAACAUAAAUUCAAAAUGAAUUAAGGAAGGACCUAAAUGUGAAAAAUAAAACCAUAAAAUUCUUAGGAAAAAGAAUGCAGGGGCAAGACUGUUGGGCCUGGAUUUUAACAAUGGAUUAUCUGAUAUAAUAAUAAAAGCACAAACAGUAAAAGACAAAAUAAGUAAAUGGGACUUUAUAAAAAUUAAAUACUUCUGUUCAUCAAAAGACUACAAAAAAGUGAAAAGACAAGUUACUGAUUGGGAUAUCUUUGGAAACCAUAUAUCCAAUAAGAAUCUAAAAACCAAAGUAUAUCUAAAACUUUGACAAUUUAACAACAAAAAGACUUACAACACAAUCAAAACUGCUCGAAGGACUUGAACAGACAUUUCAUCAAAGAGGAUAUUCAAAUAGCCACCAAACACAGGAAAAGAUGCUCAAUGUCAUUAGCCAUGAGAGAGAUGUAAAUCAAAACCACAAGAUACCGUUUUAUUCUCACUAGGAUGGCAAGAGAUUAAAACAAACAAACAAAAAAAACCCAGAAAAUAACAAGUGUUGGUGAGAUGUAGGGAAAUUGGAACCCUUAUCCACUGCUGAUGGGAAUGCAAAAUGGUAUAGCUGUUGUGGAAAAACUAAAAAAGAACUACCAUAUGAUCCAGCAAUUCCACUGCUAGGAAUAUACCCAAAGGACUUGAAAGCACGACAUCCGUGUUCAAUGAUGCACUAUUCACAAUAGCCAAAAGGUGGAAACAACAUAAAUGUCCAUCAACAAAUGAAUGGAUAAACAAAAUGUGGUAUGUACAUAUAAUGGAAUACUACUCAGCCAGAAAGAGAAAUGAAGCCCUGAUACAUGCUACAGCAUGGAUGAAGCUUGAAGACAUUAUGCUAAGUGAAAUAUGUCAAUCACAAAGGGACGAAUAUUCUAUAACCUCACUUAUUGAGACUAUGUUGGCAUCUCCUAUCUGAAGGAGAGAUGAGACGGCAGAGGGGGUCAGAAGCUGGUGGAAUGGACACAAAAAGAGUGGAGGGAGGAGCAGGCUGUCUCAUUAGGGGGAGAGCAAUUAGGGGUAUAUAGCAAGGUUUAUAUAAAAUUUUGUAUUAGAGACUGACUUGAUUUGUAAACUUUCACUUAAAGCACAAUAAAAAUUAAAAAAAAAAAAAGUUGAAUUGGCUAAUGAUUCAGGUUCCAAGCAAGUUAGUAUAUUAACUACAAACAACAGUAUUUAAAAAAAUGAAACAAUUCCCAUUUGGAAGAGGAGGAGGAGGAGGAGUGGGCAAAGAAGGCAAAAGGAGCAACCUGCAGAGUAAGAAGAAAUCUAGAAUGGUGCCUUGCAAGCAAACAAUACCAGUGGUUUGAGAAACCCUGCCUUUGAACACCAUUCCUGAUGCUUCUCCUCUCACCCCUGUGUGCUCUGCCCCCUGCUGGCCAUCCUGGACAUUUUCCAGUCCCUGUGUUUAGCAGCUUUCUACCUCACCCUCUGUAGGUCACCCUGACAGCUUCUCUGGGGACACUGAACACUCUUGCUGACACUACAGCCAGUGUGGCGCAAGGCAGAGGCCAGAAGCAGCUGAUUAUUUCCACCAGUUCCCCAGGAACUUUUUUAUUUCAUCCUCCAGCAUGUGACUUACACCAGCAUGAUGAACCAGCGGACAUGGGUGAGAUCCUGUCCUUGGAUUACAAAACGCUUAGGAGCCAGAAAACACCACCAAGCUCUCUCAAAAUCUUCCUCCUUCAGGAAGCCUGCCUGUAUUUAAGAUUCUUCACUUGCUCCUGUUUCUAAUCCCAAAAACCUAACUUCCCUGUUGCUGUUUUCAAUACUUUGAGUCUCUGGGUGGUACAAACACUUUGGCUGCUAACUGAAAGGUUGGUAGUUCAAGUCCACUCAGAGGUGCCUCGAAAGAAAGUCUUGGCGAUCUGCUUCCAAAAAUUCAGCCAUUGAAAACCCUACAGAGCACAGUUCCAGCACGACGCACAGGGGGUCACAAUGCACCAGAAUGGAUUUGGCAACUGCUUUGGUUUAUUUCAGAUAGUAAAUGGCAAAGUUAAAAAUUUAAUCCAGAUCCUUUGAUUCCAAGCUCAGUGCUCACUCCACCCCACCAGAUUCUCUUAGGGGAAAAAAAUGUGGGCUUAGGAGGCAUUCAGCAGAUUGCCCCAGAGACACAACAAGGCAGGAGCCAGAAUGAGACUAGUCUAAUCCACAGGCCAUCUGGGCUCCUCGAUCUCAUUUUAGCCAGGACUUUCCCUACCAAACCUUCACUCCACCAUCAAGUCGGCUUCCCAGGGGCAGUGUGGAGGAUGAUCCAGAUGUGGUGGCCCCCAAGCUCUGAUCUCCUUUCCUUCUAGUGAGUCUGCAGUGUGGCCAAGGCACACUGGAAGUGAGUCCUUGGUGGCCAAGUUUCCAGUGACCAUGCACCACCCUAUUAUCCCCAAGUCAUAUGACCCUGGAGCAGGUAAGGCUCUUGUCCCUGGGGCUUCAUGGCAGGACUCUGUGGAGCUAUUGGUGAAAUUCAGAAGGGAUUGCUUCAGAGAUGUAGGAGGGAGAGGGAGAGUUGAUAAAAAUAACAGUUCUGAUAUGAUUCCUAAAUUGACAAGAUGUGUUUGGAGGGAAAAAAAUUCUAGGACACACUCCCCUAAUAUUGCUUGAUUAUACUUAUUUUAUUAUGUGGUUUGUGUUUAUUUUGAAAAAAAACUAAUAAAUUUUAACAUUUUAAUAAAUAAUUGUAAAAAAAAAAAAAAUGGAACAACUCCUGGCUUGUAUCUUUCUCAGGACAAAUUGAGUCAAUUAGAAACUCAGACAGUGAUCUAGUGACGCUAGAAGAAUCCAACGAGUUACAAGUAAAUCUUUCAUACAUUUAUUAAUCAUUCCACAAAUAUUUAUUAAACACCUAUCAUGUGAUACACAGUAUCUAGGGCACUGGUUACAGCUCAUACAAAAAUGCAUUGUUUAUGACUGCAUUUUGUUCAGGGAAUAGGUAGUAUAGUAGAUGCUUAACAUACAAACAAGGGGUUUACCCAGAGACCUUCUUGAAUCUUCAAAUAAGUAAAUAUUUUAUAUCACAUAAAUUAACCCAGAAAUGACAGUAAAGUAUAACUAAACUUUGGUACUGUCAUGCAUUAACAAAAAAUGGAAAAAAUAGGCAGUGAAAUAACAGAGCAAGAAGAGUGAAAUAGACCCAUGCAAGAGCAAGCUCAGAAACAUGCAUACAUGGCAGUUUAGUACAUGACACAGGGUAUUUUAAAUCAGAGGGGAAAGAAUGGAGUAUUCAAUAAAUGGUUAUAGGACAACUGGAAAAAAUGGGGAAAAAAAUUAAAUUAGAACCCUACUUCACACUGUAAAUUAAAAUUUUCAUAUGUAUUAAAACUCACUCCAAAAAGCAAAAAUUUAAAACUUUUAGAAUAAAAUGCUGAAAUGUGUGUGUGUGUAGAGAGAGAGACCCCAGGACCUUUGGUGGUGCAAGCAGUUAUUCCAAAUGGCAGCUAACUGAAAGCUCGGAGGUUCAAGUCUAUCCAGAGGUACCUCCGUAAAACGGCCUGGUGAUCUGCUUCUGAAAAAAUCAGCCACUGAAAACCCUGUGGAGCACUGUUCUACUGUGACACACAAGGGGUCACCAUGAGUUGGUAUCAACCCAACAACUAUGGGUUUUAUACACACAAACCAUUAUAUGAAAUUAUAGAGGAGAAAAGGUUUUUAGCAAGACACUAAAAUCAUAAUCCAUAAAGGAAAAAUGUGAUAAAUUUCAGUAUAUCAAAAAAAAAAAAAAAGAAACAUUCUACAUGACCAAAGAAAUCUA